CAGUCGCCACGGGAAUACAGAGGUCUCAAGCGUUGUUCGGAUUCAUUGGGCGUAAAGGGUGCGUAGGUGGCGGUGUAAGUCUAACGUGAAAUCUCGGGGCUCAACCUCGAAAUUGCGUCGGAUACUGCAUUGCUAGAGGAUUGUAGAGGAGAGUGGAAUUCAUGGUGUAGCAGUGAAAUGCGUAGAUAUCAUGAGGAAGACCAGUUGCGAAGGCGACUCUCUGGGCAACUCCUGACACUGAGGCACGAAGGCUAGGGGAGCAAACGGGAUUAGAUACCCCCGUAGUCCCUGUCUCUUAUAC
rnacentral:rRNA from 1 species